GCUCUAAAAAAUAGUCCCAAAAUAUGUCUUUGGCUGAAAUACAUGAGGAGAUUAUUUCUCAGCCUUGUAAACAAUUCAGGAAGGCACUGGGUUGGUGGGAGGUAGAAAAAGCUCACGAAUUUAACAGAAGAUCUUCAAGGUCCCCCUGCAUGAAAAAUAGAAGCAGAAACAAAGGAAAUGUGGAAUGGCAAGCAGAAGGGAUAAGAAGUAAAAGAAGCAUGGGAAAGCAAAGGCCAAGCAAGGCAAAGUUUCCCUCUGAGGACAAGAAUGGAGUAUCACUAACCCACAAUGAAGGUUAGUUGAAAGGAAAGACAAGCAUGGCCUGUGUACAGGCGAGGACUUGCACGGAUUUUCAAGGUUUUCUAGGUUUUCUUAUUAGGGAAUUUCCUACUGAAUUGAUUCCUUGGUCACACACUGAGACCUCUAAAGAAUCCCAUUCUUUUGUGCAGUGAUCAAUAAUGACAACCCUUUAGAAUCAAAUGAUGAAAAGGAGGGCCAAGAAGCCACUUGCUCACGACCCCAGAUUGUACCAGAGCCCAUGGAUUUCAGAAAAUUAUCUACAUUCAGAGAAAGUUUUAAGAAAAGAGUGAUAGGACAAGACCACGACUUUUCAGA
rnacentral:sRNA from 1 species